UUUAAAAAAUUUUCCCUUAUAUAGCAGUAGGUUUUGAGGACCCACGUGUAACACUUACUGUUGGUGAUGGAGUUGCAUUCUUGAAGAAUGUUCCAGAAGGAACUUACGAUGCAGUUAUAGUGGAUUCAUCCGACCCUAUUGGCCCUGCUCAAGAGCUGUUUGAAAAACACUAAAU